UUGGAGUUCUAGAAUUUCCCAGAUAGACAUCUUCUCUUCAUCUUCAAUCCUAUCUCAUCUCAUCACCGAUGGUGUGUAAAUGAUGGUGCACCGCUUCUUUGGUGGUGUUUCAUAGCUCCAACGUGGUAAGCCCCAUGACGCCUUCGGUAUCUUCUUGACACUCGAGAUCUACUUCUCCAACCACCACCCGAGUAAGUAUCUUCUAGAUCUCUAUUUUUGUGCCUUAAUGACGCUUUCAGGGAUAGAUGCUCAUCGAUCUCUUGUUUUUCAUUUCUGUCAAAUGUUAUCUAUAUAGCACAUCUUCAAGAUCUGAUUCUCCAACUGUCUUUUUUUUUCCUUUUUUGCAGUUGCUUUGUAGAUCUUAUCAGCUGUGAUCCUUGUUAAACUCGAUUUACUACUUUCUCCAUUCCUUUUGACUUGUUCAGAAUUUACUUUCAAGGACUGUGAGAAGCCAGUGAGAUUUAUUAUCUAUAGAGUGGAGAGUAGGUGAAUUUCGCGAAAAAUGUGAUUGAUGUGCUAAUAUCAACUUUCGUGAGUGGCAAGUCCAUGCUUGAGUUAGAAAUAGAAAGUUUUAAUUAAUUUUUAUUUUUUAUUGCAUGUUAGAAAGUGAUUUGGACAUUGGAACAGAGCAGUCUACCUUUUGGAUAAAUCUCAACAAUAAGUGUUUUUUUCCUAAAAUAUUCAUUGAGAGUUCUGAAAAUUUUGAUAAAAAUUAGAAAAAUGUUGAUGAAAAAAAUUCUCAAGGUUGAAUUUGAGAUAAGAAUCAUUGAGAAGAACUCAAGAGUUAGCAAAAAAAAAAAAAAAAAAGGAAAAGACAUAGUUGGAAAGAAAAUUUAAUUGAAUUGAAAAUGAAAAAGAAAAAUAAAACGUGGGGAGGCAAAAAGAAAAAAAUGAGAAAACAAAGUGAAAAAGUAAGAAGAUAAUUCAUUUAAUGUGAAAGAGUGGUGUAUUGUCGCUACUAAAUUACUUCCAUCAUAGUUGUCUAAUACAAGAUCACUGAGGGGUGAGGAGAGAUUCUAUCAAAUGGUAAAGGAUUUAUUUUGCAUGUUUCUGGAGUUAUUACUAUCGUCGUUCAUUAUUGUAAUAGAAUCGGUCCAGUGAAACAUGCGUGGUUUGAAAUUUUCAACAAUAAUGUAGAGAUCGCAAGGAGAGAUAGAGGGAAUUCUAAUAUUGUUGAGUAUGCGUGCUAUGAGACAUUAGAGGGAAUUCUAAUAUUGUUGAGUAUGCGUGCUAUGAGACAUCAUCCAAAAAUGUGGAGAGCAUUAUGUGUCAUGGCUUAGAAAUGCUUAGGAUUGUAGUCAAUUUUCAUACUUAUAUUGGUGGUAUAUACUUAUCACUUGUAUGCUCGCCUCAAACUAAGUAUGUUUCUCGAGGGUUUGGGCCACAGGUGAUAAAAGAGUUUUAAAAUGAGGUGUAGGUGACACAAGUCUUAAUUAUUAGUUGGAGGUGACAAUUAUUUUAUUAUGUAUCAAGAAAGUUGGGGAAGUUUGAAAAUAACCCACAAGUUUUUAAAUUUAUAAUUUGAUCUUAAUGUAUACCUAAAAUAACGGAAAAUGGAGGGGCAAAAAGGCGUUUUUCUCUCUUUUCUCAUCCAUUGUUGUUUUUUCUCUCUUAGCGAUUUUUGUUAUUAAUUGUUUUUGUUUCUGCUGCUUUAUUUAUCAUCUUCUGGUUUAUUAUCAUCAUCUUCUACUUUAUUAUUAUUUCAUCUUCUUCUUGUCGAUCAUUUGUUGUUGUUAUUGUUGGUACAGCGCUACUGCUGCGAUCUUAUCAAUUUCUUAGGUCAAGUUUUGUUUACUACAUCACUUUUCACUUUGGCAUUACUUCAUAGGUGACUUUGAUAAGUAAAAUUAUGAUUUUUAUUCGUAUUUGUUAUCUGGGUGCACUUCUGUUUUUCCAACAAUAGAUAGAACCUCGAUUAUGAAUUCAGCAUAAGUGCCCACAAUUUAAAGAGAUUAAUCAUCUGGUACAUCAGAUGAAUAAUCUGUUGCAUCAUCGUAUUAUCUGCUGCAUCAGACAUAUUAUCUGUUGUAUCUGGAUGUUUAUCUGUUGCAACGAAUGAUUAAUCUGUUUGAAACAACACGAAUCAACCCCUGUCACAAAUCCAACAGAUAAAUCUUGCUAUUGCUACUGGAUUUUAAAUUAUUCCUUUUUACGUCGAAUCGUCGACAUGUUGUUGAGAAGAUAAUAAACAGAAUCAAAAUUAAAUAUGAAUUAAAACGUCAAAGAUCAAACAUAAUUUAUUUAUUAAACAAAUAAAAAUACAUAUAAUGGACUAAAAGAAAAAUAAUAGUCUAAUUAUUAUUAUUAUUAUCAGCAUCAUCAUUGCUAGUCGGUUAAUCUUCAACUGGAAGUAGCAAGGCUCUCCUCAACCUGCGUAUCUCGUGGAGCAUUCUUGAUCUAACUUCUCCCAGUUCCCAUUGCAGAUCACGAACUUGAUUUUGAAGUUCAUUCAUGGUAUCUUGCAGAAAAGCAAUGUCCCACAUUGGGUCAGCCAUAAUCUUAUCUUCUAGAGUGUAAUAUGAAAGACGAGAUGCAAUGAAUAAAUAGAGUAUUUGAAUGAACGAUUGAGUAAGGACAGACCUAUUUAUAGAGGAUUGAAUUUGAAUGAGAGGCAAAAAAAUGCGACUAUUUACUUCCAUACAUUAAUUACAUUUUUUAUUAAAUUAAGAAAAUAAAUAUUGUGAUAUAAGUCAUGACUUUUCAGAUUAUUAUUAUUAAUUAGUUCUUUUGAAGAACCGUUUUUAUUGAGUUGUGACAACAGAUUCUAUAUCUGUUGCAUCAGAUAACAUAUCUGUGACAACAAAUAUAUUAUUUGUUGCAUCAAAUAACAUAUCUGUUGCAACAUAUAAUCUAUCUGUUCACCUUCAUUUAUUAAUUACAUUUUUUAUUAAUGUGAAAAGUAAUGAAUUAAUUAAAUUAAGAAAUAUUGUGAUAAGUCAUGACUUUUCAGAUUAUUAUUAUUAAUUAGUUCUUUUCAAGAACUGCUUUUAUUGAGUUGUGACUCGAUAUAGGUUGCAUCAGAUAAAUCAUCUGUGACAAUAGAUAUAUCAUCUGUUGCAAUCAUAGUGAACCUGUUGCAUCAGAUAAUUUAAUUGUUGCAAUAUAUAAUCCAUUUUUUUAAAAAAAAAUAACUAUAUCAUCAUAUCAUUAAUUCAAAUUUGCUUACUUUUUUAUUUUAUAAAUUAAAAAAAUACCUUUUCAAAUUUCGUAACAAAAUAAUAACCAUUUUAUUAUAUAAUAAAUAAUUUAAAAAAUAAAUUCAAAAACAAAAAUGGUAAAAAGUCACGAUCAGUUAUUAAAAUUGUGUUUAUUAUUUAUUUAUGAAACAUUUUUCGUAUUGAAUAAUCGGAACGGAAAGUCAUGUCUUUUUCUUUUCAUCCUCUCAAUAACAACAAUAGUCCUUUUUUAUUAAUAACCGUCAGGUAAAACAUAUGAUCGAUCUGUCGUAGUAGAUUAACUUCUAAUUGUUGACAUAAAUUGCUGCUCAAUUUCUACCACCAACCGUCGACAUGUUGAGAACAAGGAAUAAGCAGAAUGAUUAUUAUUAAAUACUAAAUAAGAAUUAAAAAUUUAAAGUCGACAACAAAAUGAAAUGAAUGUUCAUAGAUUUUUGAAUCCCUUGGGUAGAUUUGAUAUACAAAAGUAGGAAAAUAAUCGCUAAAAUAAAAAAUAUUACCCAAUUAUUAUUACUAUUAUUAUUAUUAUUGUCAAUCAGACAUCUUUCAUCCGGCAGCCUUGCUCCGAAGUCAGUCAAAUCUCUUUGGAGUUCAUCAAACUGUAUUUGAAGUUCACGCAAGGACUUGAUAUGAAUAUUCUUGUACGAAUCUGGAUCAUCCAUAUUUGUAAGGAGGGACCUAUUUAUAAAUUAUUGUAUCUCGGAAAGAAAAGAAAAUUGCUUUAAAAUAAAUCUAACAGAUGGGUAAUCUGUUACAAAAUCUAUUCUUUCUAUUAGAUAACUUACAACAUACUUGCAAUCUUUUGACAAUAUAAACAGAUGUGUCAUCUGUUGCAACAAGUUAGUCAUCUGUUUAUUCAAUUUAAGCCAUAGAUGGGCUAGGAAGA
rnacentral:lncRNA from 1 species